AAGAGAAAGCAUUUGGGGCCGAGUGAGAGGAUGGAUCACUGGGUCCAGACGCACCAGGCCACCGGCCAGGAACCUUCCUGCCCUCAUGGGCAGCUCAGGGCAGGUCUUACCACACCCAGCGACCACUGGCACUGAGAUGAGAGGGAGCCCAGGGCAGGUCUCCCUGGGCCUGGCCACCACACACUCGGAGCCACUGAGUCCAGGACAGGACCAUUUAGGAUUGGCCACCUCUAUUGGAAAUCAGGUGGCGGAGAGCCUGUCACAGGCCUGCCUGGUGAGGAUAGUGAAGACAGGCUGGUGGUGCACCCCAUCGAAGCCCCUGGAGAAGCCCAUCCCGGGUAGCUGCCCCGUCUGUGGCGUCUCCUUCCCAGACUCCUCCGGGAUCUGCAUCGCUUCCCUACAUGACAGGAUGCUGGGAAGCUGCAGGGCCAGCUGCAGCCCAAGCUGAAGUCCCACCUGUAGAGCUUGUGCCAGCUCCACCUGCAGCUCCCUCCCCAGCUCUGGCACCCCCGAACAGGUAGUGUGGGAGGAAAGGCCAGGCCUCUCAUUCUGCUGUCCACCUGCCUUCCCCGGAUCCACGUCUUCUGUCCUUGACUCAUCGCUGGAGCUGCACUCCCAGGAGAAUAUCCUAGCUGAACUCCUGGGCCAGCAAGAGCAAGCUGAGCCCAUGGAGGCAGAGCCCAUCGAUGAGGAAAGGGGUAUGGGUCUGUGUGCA
rnacentral:lncRNA from 1 species